rnacentral:rRNA from 1 species
GAUGAACGCUGGCGGCGUGCUUAACACAUGCAAGUCGAACGGAAAGACCCUGCUUUCUCGGUACUCGCGUGGCGAGCGGGUGAGUAACACGUGCGUGAUCUUCCCUUCUCUUCGGGAUAAGCCUCGUCGACUGAGGCUAAUACCGCACAGGAGCCAUAUUUAGUGUGAUGGUUGGAUAGUUUUGUCGGUCUUGGAUGAGCUGGCGGGGUAUCGGCUUGUUGGUGUGGUAAGGGGCUACCAAGGCGGCGGCGGGUAGACGGCCUGAGAGGGUGGACGGCGACACUGAGAAUGAGAGAAGGCCAAGAAGCCGAAGGGAGGAAGAAGUGAGGAAUAAUGAACGAGGGGAGCCAGGCUGAUGCAGAGAGGCUGCGUGUAGGAAGACGGUCUUAGGGUUGAAAAAUAAUUUAGCUAGGGACGAAGCCCGUUGUGACGGUACCUAAUGAAGAAGCACCGGCUAACUACGUG